UACGUAGGGGGCUAGCGUUGUCCGGAUUUAUUGGGCGUAAAGAGCGUGUAGGCGGCCAGGUAGGUCCGGUGUGAAAACUCGAGGCUCAACCUCGAGCUGUCGGUGGAAACUGUGAGGCUAGAGUCCGGAAGAGGAGAGUGGAAUUCCCGGUGUAGCGGUGAAAUGCGCAGAUAUCGGGAAGAACACCCGUGGCGAAGGCGGCUCUCUGGGACGGUACUGACGCUGAGACGCGAAAGCGUGGGGAGCGAACAGG
rnacentral:rRNA from 1 species